AAAGUUUGAUUGAAUAUAGUUAAAUUUGUUAUAACACACCCAACAGGAAUCUGGGGUCAUUAUGAUAAGGGGACACAAAACUUGUGGCCUCCCUAUGAACAAAUUCCCUACAUAU
ensembl:snoRNA